rnacentral:rRNA from 1 species
UACAGAGGUCUCAAGCGUUGUUCGGAUUCAUUGGGCGUAAAGGGUGCGUAGGCGGCGGGGUAAGUUUGAUGUGAAAUCCCGGGGCUCAACCCUGGAAUUGCAUUGAAUACUACCUUGCUAGAGUACCGGAGAGGAAACUGGAAUUUACGGUGUAGCAGUGAAAUGCGUAGAGAUCGUAAGGAAGACCAGUGGCGAAGGCGAGUUUCUGGACGGUAACUGACGCUGAGGCACGAAGGCCAGGGGAGCAAACGGG